rnacentral:rRNA from 1 species
GACGAACGCUGGCGGCGUGCCUAAUACAUGCAAGUCGAGCGAAUCGACAGGAGCUUGCUCCUGUUGGUUAGCGGCGGACGGGUGAGUAACACGUGGGCAACCUGCCUGUAAGACUGGGAUAACAUCUGGAAACCGAUGCUAAUACCGGAUAAUCCUUUCCUACACCUGUAGGGAAGCGGAAAGUCGGUUUUUAGCUGACACUUACAGGUGGGCCCGCGGCGCAUUAGCUAGUUGGUGAGGUAACGGCUCACCAAGGUAACGAUGCUUAGCCGACCUGAGAGGGUGAUCGGCCACACUGGGACUGAGACACGGCCCAGACUCCUACGGGAGGCAGCAGUAGGGAAUCUUCCACAAUGGACGAAAGUCUGAUGGAGCAACGCCGCGUGAGCGAUGAAGGCCUUCGGGUCGUAAAGCUCUGUUGUUAGGGAAGAACAAGUGUUGGAGUAACUGCCGGCACCUUGACGGUACCUAACCAGAAAGCCACGGCUAACUACGUGCCAGCCGCCGCAGUAAUAC